UACAGAGGUCCCAAGCGUUGUUCGGAUUUACUGGGCGUAAAGGGUGCGUAGGUGGUUGGGUAAGUCUGAUGUGAAAUCUCCGGGCUCCAACCCGGAAAUGGCAUUGGAUACUAUUUGACUAGAGGGUUGGAGGGGGACUGGAAUACUUGGUGUAGCAGUGAAAUGCGUAGAUAUCAAGUGGAACACCAGUGGCGAAGGCGAGUCCCUGGACAACUCCUGACACUGAGGCACCGAAAGCUAGGGGAGCAAACAGG
rnacentral:rRNA from 1 species